CCUCAACCUGCUCUUCCAGGGCUGAGUAUAUCAGCAUUUAAAAGACCAGGACUAUGAUUUGAUUUAGCUUUGGGAUAGUAACAUGCCUCGCUGAUAGAACAGCAACAGAUACAGGGCUUCUAGACCCCUGCAGAUGGAGCAGAGGGCACAAGGAUAUCUGUGCUGCUCUGCUGAUACACGUUCUUCACAAACAAUCCAAUCUAACUUUCAGCCACGGAUCUGGAGCAAGGAUGAGACUUCAGACCAACGUUUUGGUGUAUUUGCAGUCUGAUCUGCUGGUUUCUUGCAAGGGUUGGAGAGGAUGUUUAGAAAGUUACCCUGAAAUAGAGUUGCAUGCUUUCUGUCCAGUGAUGGUCUGUGCAUUCAUCAGCAUUGAAAGAGGAGCAGAGGAAAUGCUGUAUGGAUUGAGCAGAUCUGCAAACAAGUUGGGCUGUUUCUUUCCCCCAGGGCGUAACAGCAGGAGGCAAAUCCCACUGCCACAGCCUAAAAUAAGUUUCUGCAAAACAAGCAGUGACUAGAAUGCCUAAUUAAAAAGGGGCUGAGCUUUCUGCCUGUCUCUUGGUUUCUCCUUGGGCAACUUCAUCUCACCCAAACACUGUGUCGUCUUCGGCACCGUUGGCUGUAGUGUGUCUGGGGCCACCUGGGAGCUUUGCGCAAAGGGCCCUCACUGCUCCCCGUGGGAUGUUUGGGGGAUUAGGGUGGGUUUCAGACAAGGCAGCAGCAGGGCAAAGGAGAGGGGGUAUCUGUUACUCAGCCUGGAGCCUCCCAAGGCCUCUGGGCUCCUCGGAGGAUGAAGGGCUUAUUUACAGGGGAAACCAGCCUAGCUGGGACAGACACGCUUAGGUGGGUGUUUGUGUACUGGUAGGUCUGCGGUGGCCCUGACUGCCGGGAGCAGACCGGGGGAGGACAGCUCAUGCGCUCCCUGUCCCUCCGCUGCCAGGCGAAGCCCCCGGGAGCUGGGGAGGGGAGGCCGCAGCACCCUCCCCUCACCUGCGCGGCCCCGGGCGAGGCUGGGAGCUGCGCUGCUCCUCGUGGCGCCCGGCUGAGCGGCACCGCGCUGCCCCGUCUCCAGCCCGG
ensembl:lncRNA